AUUAAAGGAUUCCGGUAAAGGAUGGGGAUGCGUUCCAUUAGGUUGUUGGUGAGGUCACGGCUCACCAAGCCUUCGAUGGAUAGGGGUUCUGAGAGGAAGGUCCCCCACAUUGGAACUGAGACACGGUCCAAACUCCUACGGGAGGCAGCAGUGAGGAAUAUUGGUCAAUGGGCGCUAGCCUGAACCAGCCAAGUAGCGUGAAGGAUGAAGGCUCUAUGGGUCGUAAACUUCUUUUAUAUGGGAAUAAAGUUUUCCACGUGUGGAAUUUUGUAUGUACCAUAUGAAUAAGGAUCGGCUAACUCCGUGCCAGCAGCCGCGGUAAUACGGAGGAUCCGAGCGUUAUCCGGAUUUAUUGGGUUUAAAGGGAGCGUAGGUGGACAGUUAAGUCAGUUGUGAAAGUUUGCGGCUCAACCGUAAAAUUGCAGUUGAUACUGGCAGUCUUGAGUACAGUAGAGGUGGGCGGAAUUCGUGGUGUAGCGGUGAAAUGCUUAGAUAUCACGAAGAACUCCGAUUGCGAAGGCAGCUCACUGGACUGCAACUGACACUGAUGCUCGAAAGUGUGGGUAUCAAACAGGAUUAGAUACCCUGGUAGUCCACACAGUAAACGAUGAAUACUCGCUGUUUGCGAUAUACAGUAAGCGGCCAAGCGAAAGCAUUAAGUAUUCCACCUGGGGAGUACGCCGGCAACGGUGAAACUCAAAGGAAUUGACGGGGGCCCGCACAAGCGGAGGAACAUGUGGUUUAAUUCGAUGAUACGCGAGGAACCUUACCCGGGCUUAAAUUGCAAAUGAAUUAUGGGGAAACCCAUACGCCGCAAGGCAUUUGUGAAGGUGCUGCAUGGUUGUCGUCAGCUCGUGCCGUGAGGUGUCGGCUUAAGUGCCAUAACGAGCGCAACCCUUAUCUUUAGUUACUAACAGGUCAUGCUGAGGACUCUAGAGAGACUGCCGUCGUAAGAUGUGAGGAAGGUGGGGAUGACGUCAAAUCAGCACGGCCCUUACGUCCGGGGCUACACACGUGUUACAAUGGGGGGUACAGAAGGCAGCUACCUGGUGACAGGAUGCUAAUCCCAAAAACCUCUCUCAGUUCGGAUCGAAGUCUGCAACCCGACUUCGUGAAGCUGGAUUCGCUAGUAAUCGCGCAUCAGCCA
rnacentral:rRNA from 1 species